CCCUGCCCACCCUCUGCUGCAGACCCCCCUCCAGUACACUGUAUAUAGUGGCAACGCAGCCCACAUGCCCCGGGUGUCCCCUGCCCACACACUACUUGCAGCCCCUCUCACCUGGGUCCUGGGCAGAGCCGCCGGCGGGAAAGUGCAGCCGGUGCUGCUGCUGUGAGGAGGAGGAGAGAGCGCCGCCGCCGCUGCACGAUGCACUCCCAGCUCUGGGCUUCCCGCCGCCGCCUCCGGGCCCGCUGCUGCUGCUGCACUUGGUUCUGCCCCCUCCCCGGUGCUGCUGGCGGCUGCGGGGUAACGGAGGAGAUCACCGGGCGGCUGUCAGGCUCCCACCACCAGCAGCAGCAGCGUGAGGCGAGGAGUCAGGGGGAAUGAGGAGAGGGGAGCUGAUGGUUUUCAACACGUUUAUGUGAGAAAUCGUCUAUCUGGGUAUCUGGUUGGGAUAUUUCAUAAAUCAUAUGCCCUACUCUACGGAUGAACACAAAUGGACCCUGCCAUUACGCUAGCAGUUUAUUUCCCUGUGUGGGCAAAAGUAACAAAACCUUAUCACCAGUCACAAGUUGAUUUUGCAUGCUCACAACAGUAUUGUAUAAUUUCCCCUUCUACCUUCACCUCAAGGACAUGGCUACCCAAGGCUUCUUUCCAUAGAGAAACUCAAAUGACGUGAAGCUAGAAGAAUUGUUGGGCACCACCUGGAUGACAAUCAGAAGAUGAAAGUUCCAUGAUUUGCAAGGCGCAGAGAUUGGUUUUAAUAUGGCACUUCAAAAGUAUGCACAGAAGUACAGAGAUAGACUCAAGAAUGAUGGGCACAGACGACCCUCUAAGCCUUCACCUGCAGCUCCAGGGAAACGCGUUGAGCUACAUAAAUUAUGCACUGAGGCUAUUUGUCUUAUGAACUUCUGAAUACCAUCUGUGACUACAAUUUGGACCGUAGAUAUCUCCAUUUGACUCUAAAGUUGGCUUAUUAUCUACGGACAACCCCUAGAGCACAACCUAAUUGAGGACUGAGUGCUCACAGACAUCUGGGGGCUUUCUAUAUUGUCUGCUAAACAAAAAUUCUAAAUUGAACGCUAUUGACCUACCGUGGAGAAGGUCCUAGUUCAGUAAAUAUAGGAGUAUGAGAAGUAUGAUAAGGGGCUCUAUACAUUCUUUCUUUUAUACAGAGCUGCUGAUUCAUUGUGACAAAUAAGGAUUUUAAUAAUAUAUUUUAUUGUGCUCAUAUAUUUUUAUAUGUCUCCUGGGCUGCAAGCCAAACGCACAUGUCAGGCUGAUACAAUAACUUUCUGGUGUGUGCAGAUUUUAGUCUACUGAAUCAACACAAUUGCCACAUUUUAUCCAGGUGUUAUAUGAUUUGUGAGACCUGACGGUUCAGGAUAUCUAUAACCCCAUAAUUGGGUUCAAGGUGUACAGUUAGCCCUCAAAACGAAAUACUAUCAAUUUCUUUGUCUUAUUGUUCGGGCACUACUUUGGUCCUUCUUGGGAUGAACGCAAAAUGUUUUUAAUAAAUAAUUUUAAAGAAAAA